GAAUAUUGGACAAUGGGGGGCACCCUGAUCCAGCCAUGCCGCGUGUGUGAAGAAGGCCUUUUGGUUGUAAAGCACUUUAAGCGAGGAGGCGGCUACUUCGCUUAAUACUCUAGUAUAGUGGACGUUCCUCUCAGAAUAGUCCCCGCCUACCUCUGUGCCAGCAGCCGCGGUAAUACAGGGGGUGCAAGGGUUAAUCGGAUUUACUGGGCGUAAAGCGCGCGUAGGUGGCCAAUUAAGUCAAAUGUGAAAUCCCCGAGCUUAACGUGGGAAUUGCAUUCGAUACUGGUUGGCUAGAGUAUGGGAGAGGAUGGUAGAAUUCCAGGUGUAGCGGUGAAAUGCGUAGAGAUCUGGAGGAAUACCGAUGGCGAAGGCAGCCAUCUGGCCUAAUACUGACACUGAGGUGCGAAAGCAUGGGGAGCAAACA
rnacentral:rRNA from 1 species